UAGGGAAUCUUCCACAAUGGACGAAAGUCUGAUGGAGCAACGCCGCGUGAGCGAUGAAGGCCUUCGGGUCGUAAAGCUCUGUUGUUAGGGAAGAACAAGUACCGGAGUAACUGCCGGUACCUUGACGGUACCUAACCAGAAAGCCACGGCUAACUACGUGCCAGCAGCCGCGGUAAUACGUAGGUGGCAAGCGUUGUCCGGAAUUAUUGGGCGUAAAGCGCGCGCAGGCGGUCCUUUAAGUCUGAUGUGAAAGCCCACGGCUCAACCGUGGAGGGUCAUUGGAAACUGGGGGACUUGAGUACAGGAAAGCGGAAUUCCACGUGUAGCGGUGAAAUGCGUAGAGAUGUGGAGGAACACCAGUGGCGAAGGCGGCUUUCUGGUCUGUAACUGACGCUGAGGCGCGAAAGCGUGGGGAGCAAACA
rnacentral:rRNA from 1 species